AAUUUUUUUAUCAUGUAUCUGUCACUUACAUUAGUAAAUCUGUAAGAGUACUGUUUUAAGUAUUAUAAUAACUCACUUUAUUGCAGAGUUAACUGGGAUGAGAAAAUCUACUUUUCGUUUAACAUAAUAUAUAUUUAACAAAAAUUACCUGAUUGACUUUAUACUAACCGGUGUUUAUAAGAAACAUGAGGAAACACUACACCAAAAAGGGCCACAGAAGCAUCAAUGACUGAGACUCCGAGAGGGAGGGGACCAGGUACUGCUUCUCCAGCAGGUAUGCGUAAAUAAAUAGAGGAAGGAUCAUGCUCCAGAGCCCCACUUCCAGAGGCACUGUUUGGCUGGAGCUGCAAAAGAGUGAAAUAAAAAUUAUUCAAAAUCUACUUUAGGAAAUCUACUUAUUAAACAUUGGGAAUGAGGAUUACAGCAGAGGAGAAAGGAGAAAAGGCAACAAAAAAAGAAUGAUUGGAUCCGAACAUUUGAAAACAGACCAAAAUGUAAUUUGGUCAUUAAAAAAUCAUCAGUAACACCUUAUACAAAUUUUAAGAAAAGCUUUAUUCAUUCGAAAACAUAUUUACACCACCCACCUUAUUGCGUGAACAAUAUACACAAGAUCUUAAUCCCACAAUUAUUUUAAAUGGGGCUUUAAUCACUCUUUAAAAAGUACAUAAGAAAUAAUGUAUUCAGUGGGCAAAAGUUCUAAAUCUUCAACCUACUAACUCAUUCCUCUCCAACCUGUCACAAAACAAAACAAACUAAAACAAAACAAAAUACCAAUAACCAAAAAGCCAGUUAAAACUGAUCUUUAUCACAGCCACCACAAGGUAUCUAAAUACACAGAAUAUUAAAUAAAGACAAUUUGCCAAAUUCUCACUCUUCCUGUUUAACUUUUUUCACUAUCUACCACCAGGAUGCCAUCUUUAAGUGUCUAAGAACACUAAAUGGGGAUUAAACCUUUCUAUACACUAUUUUCUUUUUAAGUGACAAUGUGUAAUAGGACCAUUGUUUCAGAUUA
rnacentral:lncRNA from 1 species